CCUACGGGAGGCAGCAGUGGGGAAUUUUGGACAAUGGGCGCAAGCCUGAUCCAGCAAUGCCGCGUGCAGGAUGAAGGCCUUCGGGUUGUAAACUGCUUUUGUACGGAGCGAAACGGUCUGCUUUAAUACAGUAGGCUAAUGACGGUACCGUAAGAAUAAGCACCGGCUAACUACGUGCCAGCAGCCGCGGUAAUACGUAGGGUGCUAGCGUUAAUCGGAAUUACUGGGCGUAAAGCGUGCGCAGGCGGUUAUAUAAGACAGAUGUGAAAUCCCCGGGCUCAACCUGGGACCUGCAUUUGUGACUGUAUAGCUAGAGUACGGUAGAGGGGGAUGGAAUUCCGCGUGUAGCAGUGAAAUGCGUAGAUAUGCGGAGGAACACCGAUGGCGAAGGCAAUCCCCUGGACCUGUACUGACGCUCAUGCACGAAAGCGUGGGGAGCAAACAGGAUUAGAUACCCUGGUAGUCCACGCCCUAAACGAUGUCAACUGGUUGUUGGGUCUUCACUGACUCAGUAACGAAGCUAACGCGUGAAGUUGACCGCCGUGGGGAGUACGGCGCGAAGUUGAAACUUAAAGGAAUUGACGGCUUGAGACGNGCGAGCGACGACGAGGGAGGAGG
rnacentral:rRNA from 1 species